rnacentral:rRNA from 1 species
GGCUACCAUGCAGUCGAGGGGCAGCAUUUUAGUUUGCUUGCAAACUAAAGAUGGCGACCGGCGCACGGGCUGAGUAACACGCUAUCCAACCUGCCGAUAACUCGGGGAUAGCCUUUCGAAAGAAAGAUUAAUAUCCGAUAGUAUAUUAAAACCGCAUGGUUUUACUAUUAAAGAAUUUCGGUUAUCGAUGGGGAUGCGUUCCAUUAGUUUGUUGGCGGGGUAACGGCCCACCAAGACUACGAUGGAUAGGGGUUCUGAGAGGAAGGUCCCCCACAUUGGAACUGAGACACGGUCCAAACUCAUACGGGAGGCAGCAGUGAGGAAUAUUGGUCAAUGGACGAGAGUCUGAANCCAGCCAAGUAGCGUGAAGGAUGACUGCCCUAUGGGUUGUAAACUUCUUUUAUAUGGGAAUAAAGUAUUNCCACGUGUGGGAUUUUUGUAUGUACCAUAUGAAUAAGGAUCGGCUAACUCCGUGCCAGCAGCCGCGGUAAUACGGAGGAUCCGAGCGUUAUCCGGAUUUAUUGGGUUUAAAAGGGAGCGUAGGUGGAUUGUUAAGUCAGUUGUGAAAGUUUGCGGCUCAACCGUAAAAUUGCAGUUGAAACUGGCAGUCUUGAGUACAGUAGAGGUGGGCGGAAUUCGUGGUGUAGCGGUGAAAUGCUUAGAUAUCACGAAGAACUCCGAUUGCGAAGGCAGCUCACUAGACUGCAACUGACACUGAUGCUCGAAAGUGUGGGUAUCAAACAGGAUUAGAUACCCUGGUAGUCCACACAGUAAACGAUGAAUACUCGCUGUUUGCGAUAUACAGUAAGCGGCCAAGCGAAAGCAUUAAGUAUUCCACCUGGGGAGUACGCCGGCAACGGUGAAACUCAAAGGAAUUGACGGGGGCCCGCACAAGCGGAGGAACAUGUGGUUUAAUUCGAUGAUACGCGAGGAACCUUUACCCGGGCUUAAAUUGCAUUUGAAUAAUCUGGAAACAGGUUACCCGCAAGGCAAAUGUGAAGGUGCUGCAUGGUUGGUCGUCAGCUCGUGCCGUGAGGUGUCGGCUUAAGUGCCAUAACGAGCGCAACCCUUAUCUUUAGUUACUAACAGGUCAUGCUGAGGACUCUAGAGAGACUGCCGUCGUAAGAUGUGAGGAAGGUGGGGAUGACGUCAAAUCAGCACGGCCCUUACGUCCGGGGCUACACACGUGUUACAAUGGGGGGUACAGAAGGCAGCUACCUGGCGACAGGAUGCUAAUCCCAAAAACCUCUCUCAGUUCGGAUCGAAGUCUGCAACCCGACUUCGUGAAGCUGGAUUCGCUAGUAAUCGCGCAUCAGCCAUGGCGCGGUGAAUACGUUCCCGGGCCUUGUACACACCGCCCGUCAAGCCAUGAAAGCCGGGGGUACCUGAAGUACGUAACCGCAAGGAGCUCCUAGG